UGGGGAAUAUUGGACAAUGGGCGAAAGCCUGAUCCAGCAAUACCGCGUGUGUGAAGAAGGCCUUCGGGUCGUAAAGCACUUUUAGCAAAGAAGAAAUGCCCAAGGUUAAUACCCUUGGGAGAUGACGUUAUUUGCAGAAAAAGCACCGGCUAACUCUGUGCCAGCAGCCGCGGUAAUACAGAGGGUGCGAGCGUUAAUCGGAAUUAUUGGGCGUAAAGCGUGCGUAGGUGGAUAUUUAAGUCGGAUGUGAAAUCCCCGGGCUCAACCUGGGAACUGCACUCGAUACUGGGUAUCUGGAGUAUAGUAGAGGAAAGCGGAAUUCCCGGUGUAGCGGUGAAAUGCGUAGAUAUCGGGAGGAACAUCAAUGGCGAAGGCGGCUUUCUGGACUAAUGCUGACACUGAGGCACGAAAGCGUGGGGAGCAAACAG
rnacentral:rRNA from 1 species